rnacentral:rRNA from 1 species
GAUCCUGGCUCAGAACGAACGCUGGCGGCAGGCCUAACACAUGCAAGUCGAGCGUGAUUCCAGAACUUCGGUUCUGGAUGAAAGCGGCGAACGGGUGAGUAACGCGUGGGAACGUGCCCCUUAGUAUGGAAUAGCCCGGGGAAACCUGGAAUAAUACCAUAUACGCCCUUCGGGGGAAAGAUUUAUCGCUAAGGGAUCGGCCCGCGUCUGAUUAGGUAGUUGGUGAGGUAAAGGCUUACCAAGCCUACGAUCAGUAGCUGGUUUGAGAGGAUGAUCAGCCACACUGGGACUGAGACACGGCCCAGACUCCUACGGGAGGCAGCAGUGGGGAAUCUUGGACAAUGGGGGCAACCCUGAUCCAGCCAUGCCGCGUGAGUGAAGAAGGCCUUCGGGUUGUAAAACUCUUUCAACGGUGAAGAUAAUGACUGUAGCCGUAGAAGAAGCCCCGGCUAACUCCGUGCCAGCAGCCGCGGUAAUACGGAGGGGGCUAGCGUUGUUCGGAAUUACUGGGCGUAAAGCGCACGUAGGCGGGCUGGAAAGUC